rnacentral:rRNA from 1 species
AUUGAACGCUGGCGGCAUGCCUAACACAUGCAAGUCGAGCGGAUGAGUGGAGCUCGCUCCAUGAUUCAGCGGCGGACGGGUGAGUAAUGCCUAGGAAUCUGCCUGGUAGUGGGGGACAACGUUUCGAAAGGAACGCUAAUACCGCAUACGUCCUACGGGAGAAAGUGGGGAAUCUUCGGACCUCACGCUAUCAGAUGAGCCUAGGUCGGAUUAGCUAGUUGGUGAGGUAAAGGCUCACCAAGGCGACGAUCCGUAACUGGUCUGAGAGGACGAUCAGUCACACUGGAACUGAGACACGGUCCAGACUCCUACGGGAGGCAGCAGUGGGGAAUAUUGGACAAUGGGCGAAAGCCUGAUCCAGCCAUGCCGCGUGUGUGAAGAAGGUCUUCGGAUUGUAAAGCACUUUAAGUUGGGAGGAAGGGCAGUAAGUUAAUACCUUGCUGUUUUGACGUUACCAACAGAAUAAGCACCGGCUAACUUCGUGCCAGCCGCCGCCGUAACAC